GGAGUUCAGGACUCUAAGACCACCCAACUUCCUUCCAGCACGCUCCUCAGCAACAGAUCGCUUACUACGUUGAAAUUUCAACUGGGUAACUCCCUGGUUGGUGGGCUUACCAUACACAAUACCCUUGGAUACAGGUCUCUUCCUUCCACCACGCUUCACACGAACACGGUAAACCACAUAGCCCUGUUUGGCUUUGUAACCCAAGCGUCGAGCCUUGUCAGGACGAGUAGGCCUAGUAACACGCACUAUUGAUGGAAGCUGGCGAUACUCCCAGCACCUCACCCUCUGUAAGAACCUCAUCACAUCCGACUGCUUCUUCCUCCAUAGCUCUGACACAUAAGUGUAGGCGCCCAUUGUAGUGCGGCGAAACUCUCUGCUCCUACUCAGUUAUUCUCGCC
rnacentral:misc_RNA from 1 species